GCUGACACAUCCCGGCCAAUCUCCAGCAGACCCUCCCUCCCAGACCCUCCUACUUCCUGGACAGCAUCCAUGUUGAAGCUGCCUUCAACAUGGAUGCUGUCCAGGAAGUAGGAGGGUCUGGGAGGGAGGGUCUGUUGGAGAUUGGCCGGGAUGUGUCAG
rnacentral:miRNA from 1 species